GUUGGGCGCAAUGGCUCGUGCCUGUAAUCCCAGCUACUGGGGAGGCUGAGGAAGGGGCAUCAUAAGCUCAAGGCCAGCCUGGGAAACUUAACAAGACCCUGUCUUAA
rnacentral:sRNA from 1 species